UGUGUUUAUGUGUCUACAUGUUGGACACUUUUCUAAAAAUGUAACUUUUGCAUAUAUAAAUUUUUUUAUUUUUCUUCCUUCUUCCUUCUUCCUAAAUAUAUAUAGAUAAAACUGAUCUAAAAUGUACUAAAUCAGAGAACAUAUAUAGAUAAAGCUAACCUAAAAUGUACCCAAAUAUACUAAAAAUCUAACUUUUAUAUGCACAGAGAACAU
rnacentral:lncRNA from 1 species